UGCGUAGGCGGUAAUUUAAGUCAGAUGUGAAAUCCCCGGGCUCAACUCGGGUGUUGCAUUUGAAACUGGGUUACUAGAGUGCAGGAGAGGGAAGCGGAAUUCCUAGUGUAGCGGUGAAAUGCGUAGAUAUUAGGAGGAACACCAGUGGCGAAGGCGGCUUUCUGGACUGUAACUGACGCUGAGGCACGAAAGCGUGGGGAGCAAACA
rnacentral:rRNA from 1 species